AAAGGGAAAGGUAUAGAAAUAAUUGGAGUUUUAAUAAUAUAGUUGAUUGUCAUUGCUACUUUGACGUCAUUUUCCAUUUCUUAGUGUCCACGAUGUAUUUGGGCAAUUUUGGCUUCUUAGUGACAGAAAUAGAAUCUAAGUUAGGCCAGUAAAUUUGAUAAAUUUUUCUCUACUUGUGAGUUUGUACGAUAGAUUCAAUUAAAAUGAUUUUCAUUAGUAUGUUUGUCGUUGAUUUUUAAGUGUUUAAUAUGCCAUGAAAAUCUUGGACCAAUCUUGAACAUAGAAAGAAAACUUUAAAAUUCAAAUUAGGUAAAAAUGGAGAAAAUGUAAUUUUAUACAACUGUUGAUCUCAAACCAAAUCAAUGCCAACUCAAGAUACUCUAGCUAGUAUCUUCUUCAUCCUUCAUGAGUUUGUAUUCUAUUUUUGGUAUUGCACUAGGGAAAUUUUUGAAAUUCCCUCUGUCCCUCCUUGAAUAUUUCUCUUGUCCAUAUUCUUAAUCAAAUUCUCAAUUAACUUCUCAACAGAUUGCAGUAGGGUAGAAGGAGGUUCUAACUGUUCCAAUUUCACCUACUUUAAUUCAGAUGCAAAGAUGAAAGCUGAGUUUUGUGAAUGCUGAUGUUCUCACGAUUGGAAAUAAGAUGACAUACCCUGGUGAAAUAAGUUCCUAGAUUGUAUAUAUAUUAAUUUUUAAUUUUUUUAUGUUAAAUUUUAAUUAAAUUAUUACAUGUUUUUUCUUUUUUUCUUUUUUGUUUAAUAUAGUCAUCUAAUCAAUGCUAUAAGAAAUCAAAAAGAGCUAAAAAAAAAAGCUUCAAUUGUUGCUGCCAUAAGAGAAGAGAAUGAAGGGAUAAAACUAUCAAAAGGAGGAUCUAACUUUAUUCUAGAUGUACGUGAAAAUGAUGUGGUAGAAGGGUUUCCUAAUAGUGCUAGUACUAUUGUAGACAUAUAUAAGGGAAGGGGUCGAGCAAAAUUGAAUUAUCUCAACAAGGAAAACUGUGCGAAGUUACCAGUAGAGUUUAAUGAAAGAGGACAGCCAAUUUGUAAGGGUUUAAAUAAGUUGUCAUCAUUUUUUGGGACCACAACUAGAGAACUUAUACCAAUUACAUGGAAAAAUUGGAAAGAUAUCAGCAAAGAAUUUCUUGAUGACAUAUGGGAGCAUGUGCAGGUAAUAUAAAUGUCACGUCUCUUAUAUAAUUUAAAUGAAAUUACUAUUAAUAUUGUGUACUUUGAUGCUGCAAAAGUUUGAUGUCGAUGCUUGUUAUAGAAAAUACAUCAUGCAAAAAAUGGGAAAGAAUUGGCGAGAUCAUCGAUGUAAUUUGCUUAAAGCAAUCAAUAACAAAGGAAAAACAAUUGGCAUGACACGAGCUGCUGCUCUCCUCAAGCCUGAUAAUGUUGAAUCAAUGGAAGAAUGGCAAGCAUUUGUCCAAGAACACAAUUCUCAACCAUAUAAGGAAAAGAAUAAAAGAUUCCAAAAUAUGAGAGCAAGUCAAACCAUGAUGCAUACAACAAGUAAAAAGGGUUUUGCUUGCUUAGAAGCUGAAAUGCGUGCUGAAAGUGAAGAUCCUGAUUCGAUAACAAGAGAUGAUGUUUAUAUUUGAGGACAUACGCGAAAAAAUGGUGAACCUAUUAAUGAAUCGGUUGGGGAAACAUCGAAUAAAAUAAAAGCAUAUUCAGAGACGGUUUCUCUCCAGGCAAACACUCACUUGAAGGUGAUGGUGUUGCAAAAGUACUUGGUCCAGAACGUCCAGGACGAGUAAGAGGUCUUGGUUUCGGUGCGACUCCUUCAAAGUUGAAUGCUUUGGUGCACAAUCAUAACUUGCAAACUCAAGUUCAAGAGUUGAGAUUAAAGAAUUAAAAGCUAUAUUUCAAGUGAAGAGUAAAAGUGCUGGACAAGAAGAUAAUUCUAGAGACAGAAGCUUGAAUGAUUUAGAUAACCUUCCAAAUAAGAAGUGCAAAUUGUUAUCUUGGUUUGGGAAAGCUGAUAUUGUUGCAAAAGGUGAAAUCGCAUCAACAAAUCCAAAUGAUCUAAUGCAUCAUGUACCCUUGGUAAUGAAUGUUCGAGAGUUUGGAUUAAUGAAGUAAUCGAUAAUGUCAGCUUAUAUCGUCCCACGCGUGAGCUUUUUCUUCUUGAAGAUGCAUUAGGAAGUACAAUUGCAUGACCAAGUAGGUACAUCGAAGUGGAUUCGCUGUAAUCACAACGAAGGCAUGCUUAACUUCCUUUCUAUUUUAAUUUCAUUUACCUUUAUGUUCGGUCUCAAUUGAAGAUUGGGUUGUUUAAUAUAUUUCGUGAUAUACAUUUGAUUUGGAUGCUUAUUAAUUAUAUCCUUAUUAUUUUCGUGGUGUGCAGGGGAUCCAUAUUUUGUGGGGAAGCUAAAUUGUCGAUCAAAGAAGUGAACUUUGAUAGGUUUAAUAAGUUUUUGUUAUAUGACAGAACCUCAAUAUCCGCGGGCUUAUUAGUUGAAUGGCGAUUGGCACAUACAAUAGUAGUCAAAAAAUUUUGAGAAUUGUUUAGAUGAAUUUUACAUUGGCAUAUUGUAUUGAACCGUACUCAAUAUUUCUUUUUAUCGAAACAAUGGAAAACUUGAUUAUAUAUGGAGUAAUUUUAUUUUGUUAA